rnacentral:rRNA from 1 species
AUUGAACGCUGGCGGAAUGCUUUACACAUGCAAGUCGAACGGCAGCACGGACUUCGGUCUGGUGGCGAGUGGCGAACGGGUGAGUAAUGUAUCGGAACGUGCCCAGUCGUGGGGGAUAACGUAGUGAGAAUUGCGCUAAUAUCGCAUACGAUCUAUGGAUGAAAGCGGGGGAUCGCAAGACCUCGCGCGAUUGGAGCGGCCGAUAUCAGAUUAGGUAGUUGGUGGGGUAAAGGACCACCAAGCCAACGAUCUGUAGCUGGUCUGAGAGGACGACCAGCCACACUGGAACUGAGACACGGUCCAGACUCCUACGGGAGGCAGCAGUGGGGAAUUUUGGACAAUGGGCGAAAGCCUGAUCCAGCCAUUCCGCGUGCAGGAUGAAGGCCCUCGGGUUGUAAACUGCUUUUGUACAGAACGAAAAAGUUUCUACUAAUACUAGGAGCUCAUGACGGUACUGUAAGAAUAAGCACCGGCUAACUACGUGCCAGCAGCCGCGGUAA